rnacentral:rRNA from 1 species
UAGCAGCAGCCGCGGUAAUACAGAGGGUGCGAGCGUUAAUCGGAUUUACUGGGCGUAAAGCGUGCGUAGGCGGCUUCUUAAGUCGGAUGUGAAAUCCCUGAGCUUAACUUAGGAAUUGCAUUCGAUACUGGGAAGCUAGAGUAUGGGAGAGGAUGGUAGAAUUCCAGGUGUAGCGGUGAAAUGCGUAGAGAUCUGGAGGAAUACCGAUGGCGAAGGCAGCCAUCUGGCCUAAUACUGACGCUGAGGUACGAAAGCAUGGGGAGCAAACAGGAUUAGAUACCCCAGUAGUCCCUGUCUCUUAUAC